UGGGGAAUUUUGGACAAUGGGCGAAAGCCUGAUCCAGCCAUGCCGCGUGAGUGAAGAAGGCCUUCGGGUUGUAAAGCUCUUUUAGUCGGAAAGAAAGAGUUGCAAUGAAUAAUUGUGAUUUAUGACGGUACCGACAGAAAAAGCACCGGCUAACUACGUGCCAGCAGCCGCGGUAAUACGUAGGGUGCGAGCGUUAAUCGGAAUUACUGGGCGUAAAGGGUGCGCAGGCGGUUUUGCAAGUCCGAUGUGAAAGCCCCGGGCUUAACCUGGGAAUUGCGUUUGAGACUACAAGACUAGAGUGUAGCAGAGGGGAGUGGAAUUCCAUGUGUAGCAGUGAAAUGCGUAGAGAUGUGGAAGAACACCGAUGGCGAAGGCAGCUCCCUGGGUUGACACUGACGCUCAUGCACGAAAGCGUGGGGAGCAAACA
rnacentral:rRNA from 1 species